rnacentral:lncRNA from 1 species
UGCUGAGCAGACUACGGAUGAGCAGGGGUCUGAAGUCCGGCAGAAAUGCCAGCCUCAGAGAAUGAGAGCCAGAGCCCUCAGCAUCGAAGAUAGACACACACACCACCAUGACUACAGGUCAGACAAGUCACAGGGGCAUGACGGAUCCCCAGGGUACACCGGCAGUCCCUGUACUUGGAUCUUGAGCCACGGUGAGCCCCAUUGA